AGGAUGUGUGUGAUGAAAACAUAGUUCAGCAGAUAAUCUGUGAUGAACUCUUUGUCUUUCGCUCCUAUCUGAUGCAUCCU
ensembl:snoRNA